CUGAAGUGGGAGCUGAGGAGCGCGGCUGUGCUCACACGCAGCUGGACCCCGUCUUUUCUCUAGAGUGCGUGGGUUCCGGGUCUGGCACUGAAGAAACAAUUGGGCAGCGGAUGGCACCCAGCCAUGAGCCAUACCUCCAGUAGGCAAUAAUGCAGGAACCUGGUGAAGAGAAGAACGACCAACAGAAAAAAAACAAACAUCCGAAGAAGAACAGCAGCACCAUCAUCAUCUCCAGCUGCUUUUGCCCAAGGCAACAGAACUCCACGCUGAGAAGCUGCUACCCUGAACAUCGGUACCUUAUACCAGAGAGCUGCUGCUGCUCAGAACU